rnacentral:lncRNA from 1 species
CCACAUCUCUAGGCACUUCAUCAUCGAAACGAAGCCUGUCAUAUCUCCAAACACUUCACCAUCAAGACAAACCUACCAUGCCUCCAAGCAUUUCAUCGUUGAAAUGAAGCUUGCCAUGUCUUAACACACUUGAUCACCGAAACGAAGCCUACCACAUCUCCGAACACUUCGUUACCAAGACGAAGCCUGCCAUGCCUCUUGGUACUUCAUCCUUGAGAUGAAGCCUACCAUGUCUCCAGACACUUCAUCACCAUGAUGGAGGCUGCCAUAUCUCCAGGCACUUCAUCAUCAAGAUGAACACCGCCACCUCUCCAAGCACCCC